AUUGAACGCUGGCGGCAGGCCUAACACAUGCAAGUCGAGCGAGCGGCGGACGGGUGAGUAAUGUCUGGGAAACUGCCUGAUGGAGGGGGAUAACUACUGGAAACGGUAGCUAAUACCGCAUACCAUCAGAUGUGCCCCGAUGGGAUUAGCUAGUAGGUGGGGUAACGGCUCACCUAGGCGACGCUCCCUAGCUGGUGUGAGAGGAUGACCAGCCAAACUGGAACUGAGACACGGCCCAGACUCCUACGGGAGGCAGCAGUGGGGAAUAUUGCACAAUGGGCGCAAGCCUGACGCAGCCAUGCCGCGUGAGUGAAGAAGGCCUUCGGGUUGUAAAGCACUUUCGGCGGGGAGGCGUUACCCGCAGAAGAAGCACCGGCUAACUCCGUGCCAGCAGCCGCGGUAAUUC
rnacentral:rRNA from 1 species